rnacentral:lncRNA from 1 species
ACUGGUCUUUUCCUGCCAGGUCCCAAUGAAGUCCAUAGCUGAAUGUCUUGGGGCAUGUGUGGGGGCAGGUCUGGAUGCGUAAAGUGAGCACUGUGUUCUACUCUUUGCAGGCUUCCUUGCUGUAUCCCACUGCAGGGGAUAAGAAGAAGGGGUCACUGGGACUGUCUUUGAUCCCCCAGUUACGCAGGGCAUUAAAUCCUGCUGUGAGCAGUGCUGCAGGAUCUCGGAAAAGCUCUCUGCAGCUGGAUGUGCAAGAGUCCCAGGAGAUGAGGUCCACACCCAGCAGCAGAAGUGAAGAUGAUGAAUCUGAAGAAGGAGGACUUACUGGCUACCCUCUUGCCAAGAGGAUUUCUCUGGCAAAUCCUUCUGUGCUCCUUCCCUCCAAGCCAAUGCCCCUCAUCCCAAGGAGCUCUUCCAAGCCAAUGAAGAGCUGCAUCGGAGAGCACGUUACUGGGAAAAGUGGCACUGGCAAUGACAAUGACAGUGGAAAAGAACAGGAGUCACGUUCAGAGGGAAAAGGACGUAAGGUAAGGAGACCAAGCUAAGUCAUGUGUGGGAGAUUUUCAGUUUCUGUGCUGUAGACAGA